rnacentral:rRNA from 1 species
CCCGCUCAGAAACUACGAAAGGAAGUUGACGGGACCCCGGACACAAGCGGUGGAUCAUGUUGUUUAAUUCGAUGAUACGCGAAGAACCUUACCAGGUCUUGACAUCCCCCGCGAUGCUUUAGAGAUAAAGCGGAGGUAUUCGGGGAGACAGGUGGUGCAUGGUUGUCGUCAGCUCGUGUCGUGAGAUGUUGGGUUAAGUCCCGCAACGAGCGCAACCCCUAUUGCUAGUUACCAUCAUUAAGUUGGGGACUCUAGCGAGACUGCCAGUGAUAAACUGGAGGAAGGUGGGGAUGACGUCAAAUCAUCAUGCCCCUUAUGACCUGGGCUACAAACGUGAUACAAUGGCUGGAACAAAGGGAUGCGAAGCAGUGAUGUGGAGCGAAACCCAUAAAAACAGUCUCAGUUCGGAUUGAAGUCUGCAACUCGACUUCAUGAAGUCGGAAUCGCUAGUAAUCGCGGAUCAGAACGCCGCGGUGAAUACGUUCCCGGGCCUU